rnacentral:lncRNA from 1 species
CUCCACAAACACCUUCUCCAAGUUCUCAACCACCCCAUGUAACAACACCUCCAAAAACACCCUCUCCUAUUUCUCAACCUCCCUAUGUUUUGUCACCUCCAAAAACACCCUCUCCAAGUUCUCAAGCUCCCUAUGUAACAACACCUCCAAAAACACCCUCUCCAAGUUCUCAACCACCCUAUGUGCUAACACCUCCAAAAACUUCUUCACCAAGUUCUCAACCUCCAUAUGUGCUAACCCCUCCAAAAACACCCUCUCCAAGUUCUCAACCUCCCUAUGUUCCAUCACCUCCAAAAACACCCUCUCCAAUUGCUCAAGCUCCCUAUGUACUAUCACCUCCAAACACACCCUCUCCAAUUUCUCAACCACCCUAUGUAACAACACCUCCAAGCACUCCUUCUCCUAUCAAUCAACCACCCUAUGUAACAACACCCCCAAAACCCAGUUCUCCUAUUUCUCAACCUCCAUAUAUAUCAACACCUCCAAACACUCCUUCUCCUAUCAAUCAACCACCCUAUAUAACAACACCUCCAAAACCCAGUUCUCCUACUUCCCAACCUCCAUAUAUAUCAACUCCUCCACCAACCCCUUCUCCUAUUUCUCAAUCUCCCUAUGUAACAACACCUCCUAAACCCAUUUCUCCUUCUUCUCAACCUCCAUAUAUAUCAUCACCUCCAACAACAACCCCAUCUCCUAUUUCUCAACCUCCCUAUGUCUCAACACCUCCAAAAACUGCUUCUCCUACUUCUCAACCUCCACAUAUAUCAAUACCUCCACAAACUAGUUACCCCAUUUCUCAACCUCCAUAUAUUUCACAACCUCCAAAAGCUCUUUCCCCCACUUCUGAACCUCCAAACACCCCUUCUCCUAUUUCUCAACCUCCCUAUACCCUAUCACCUUUGAACAGCCCUUCUCCAUUUUCUCAAUCACCUUACAUUUCAACUCCUCCAAAGUCCACUUCCCCUAUUUCUCAAC